rnacentral:rRNA from 1 species
UAAAUAUAAGGGCGUAUGGAGGAUGCCUUGACACUAAAAGACGAUGAAGGAGGUGGCGUGACUGCCUUAAGCUUCGGGGAGCCGUCUAGCAGGCUUUGAUCCGGAGAUAUCCGAAUGGGGAAACCCAAUUGCGUAAACCGCAAUUAUUCUGUCCGCCAGCUGGCGGACGGGAAGUAUACCUGGCGAAGUAAAACAUUCUAGUACCCAGAGGAAAAGAAAUAGAAUAGAUACCCUUAGUAGCGGCGAGCGAAAAGGGCAUAGCCUAAACCGUUUUUCAAGCAAGCAAUUGUUAGAAGGGCGGGGUAAUAGGGACGAUACACUUGAAUUUUUAACAUCGGAAUCUUCCAUCGAAGACGAUGUUAAAGAUUUAAAAGAAGUUACAAAUCCGAACGUUAGCAGAACGGCCCUGGAACGGCCGGCCAAAGAAGGUGAUAGCCCUGUAAGCGAAAACAUUCGGACUUCUGUAUUGUUACCUGAGUAGCCCAGGAUAAGAAUGUCCGGGGUGAAUUUGUCCAUACUACUGGAUAAGG